rnacentral:lncRNA from 1 species
CUAAGAGGCUUUCUGGCUUGGCUAUCAAGACCUGGGAUGAGUAGGUAGCCUUUUGAGGAAGGCUGAGUCACUUACAUAUUUGUGCACAGGGAUCCAGGCUCUGAGAACCAGAUCGCAGAUGGUUGUAAAUAGUGAAAUGGAUGUGAGGGUGUCAGGGCUGCUGGCUCUGGUAGGGGAGAAGGAAUGCUGAGUCAGUUGAUGGUCGAAGAUUCUGAUGAGUGUUGCGAAUUACCGGUUUGGCACAGGACCUGGAAUGGCUUUGUACCAAGUCACUGAUGGAAGAGGGAAAAAAAAAACCAAAAUGCUGGGACCAGCAGAGUGACUCAGACACAGUGACAGUGUUGACCCAUUUCAGUAGACUGUGACACUUCAGCGACCUGCAGAUUCUGCACCUUAGAGUUCAUGCUUUACACAAACUCCAUGCACACCCAAGACAUGGAUCCAGAAGCAAGUCCACAACCCAACAAAAGAUGCCUGUGUCAUUGGUGUCAUGCCUAUUUUCCUCACCACCCCCCCAAGGGACAUCUGUCAGGACCCUGCAACACCUGUGCUCCUUGCAUUGUUCUGCAGUCACCCUUGUUGUGUCACUUCACUGGUUAAAAUGACCACGAGAGCA